rnacentral:lncRNA from 1 species
ACUUUUGGGAUAGCAUUGGAAAUGUAAAUGAGGAAAAUACCUAAUAAAAAUUAUUUUUAAAAAAGAGUAAAUCUACGCCCCCACAUCAACCCUCAGCUGGACAAUCACACUCAUAACUAAACUUAUCUGCAAUGAAGAUUAAAGAGAAAAACUGUCUUCUUAAAAUCCUUUAAUAAAACUACCUUUUAAAAUAAAAAAAGAAAGAAAAGAAAAGGCAAGAAUAACAACAAUCAGUACAGGAAUCAGUAUCCAAGACAUCUUCCCAUGAUAUGAACUGGAUAGAUGGGAAAUUAAAAAAAAAAUUAAUGAUUUUUCCCUCAAGUAUGCCAUCAACCUCCUUCUAUAUAGUGACCUAUGUAUGUGUGCUAUAUAUCUCUAAUGACAUAUGUACUAACAGAUCAGUAAAAUAGAUGAAUUCUUACAUCCAUAGAAUAGCUUGUUAAAACAUUAAUUAACCCUUAUUGUCUUUGUAGUCCCUAAAUAUAGGAACAACUCAAACAUACCCAGAUAAUAAUUAUGGGCAUGGAAUUCCUUCACUGAGACAAAUCAGACCUGGUGGGUGGUACUUCUGCAGGAAUGGUUCCCCACAUGGCCUAUUUUACUCCAAGUGGGCUAAACAGCAUAUGUGGCCCUGAAAAUCUAUUCCCUGCAAGUGAUGGGUUCUCCAUCAUUUCUCCACAGCAUGCCCUCCAUCUUUGUGAGCACAAUUUUUUAUUAAUCAGCGAAACGUUUGGGCCUUUGAAAUUGAAAUGGAUUUCAGUCUUCUUUAUAUAUUAAUUAUUGAUAAAUGGAACCUGAGAGACAAGGAAAAAGUCUGACGUGAUUGAAGACAGAUAGUUUUUAAUUUUAUGUCUUUUGCAGUGACAGAGAAAUUUAGUUUAAUAGGAGUAAUUUUUCAAAGGCAAUUCGAUCAUGAAGGAGGAUGCAUAGAAAAUGAGCAGAGUGGACAGAGUGUAAGAAUAAGUAGGGAGCCCAGGAUGAUUUCAGAAUUACCUUAAACAUUUCCUGGAAGGCAUUUUCAAGACUGUGGGCUCAAAGACUUUUGGAAAUUUCAUCUUUGCUUUAGUUAAGAACUAUGAUCUGAGAAUUAGAUUCAAAUAUAACAUACAGUUUUCAAAUGAUUUAGAUUUCUAAGAAAAUUUCAUAUCAUUUGCAUGAUUUCUGGAUCGCUAAAAUUAAAAACAAAAACAAAAACAAAACUCAAGAAACUGUAAUUAUACCAUUGCCCUCUAUAUAAUAAAAAGGAUGGGGGCCAUAGUUAAAAAAAUAGAACAAAAUAAAACUAUUAGGCAAAUAAGAUCUCUGAGGUCCAGCAAAGUUCCUCCAUUUAUUAGAUUGCUUUGGGGACUCAUUUCAACUUUUAUACUCUUAGUUUCUUCAAAUGGAAAUAGAGAUAUUAUCCCUUAUACAAGAACCAUAGAUAGUUUUUGAAGAAUAAAGGAAUUUUUUGAAAGUUUUCUAUGGGUCUUCUUUCUUUAAAAAAAAAAAUGACUUUUUGAUAAAAAUGAAACAAAAUUUCAUAAAAACAGGUAGAGUCAGCAUGAGCCCAUCAGCUACCAAUGACCCCAUACCAAUACAUUUCUUUUUUAUAUCUCUAAGUAUAUGACAACUUUUGUUCAAUACUACAAAUCAUUUAAGCCCUAAGGUGUCCAAGGUCUGUUCUGGAACCCAGGGAUUUCGUGUUGUGGAAUUGGAGACUGAAGGCUUCUAUAGCCAAAGGACCCCACAGGUCUCGCUCCACACCGGAGAAUAAUGCAUUAUUAUGGGCUCCUACAGAAUUGGCUGGAUGCCUCCUCCUACAUCCAGGUUAAUAGAAGUCUUCAUUUGCCAUGCCUUGAAGAGUCAGCAAGGAAGGAAAAGAAUGGAGGUGGAGAACACAGGAAGAAUGUAGGAGGUGAAAGAAUAUUGGCUUCUAUGCAGCAGUGUGAGCAGGAUUCUGGGCUGAGGCUGUACUUAAGGCUGCAGACUUCAAAUUUGGUUCUGUAAUUGAU